rnacentral:rRNA from 1 species
UNCUACAAGCGAAACUGCGAAUGGCUCAUUAUAUAAGUUAUCGUUUAUUUGAUAGUACCUUACUACAUGGAUAACCGUGGUAAUUCUAGAGCUAAUACAUGCUGAAAAUCCCGACUUCGGAAGGGAUGUAUUUAUUAGAUUCAAAACCAAUGCCCUUCGGGGCUCCAAUGGUGAUUCAUGAUAACUUCUCGAAUCGCACGGCCCCGCGCCGGCGAUGGUUCAUUCAAAUUUCUUCCCUAUCAACUUUCGAUGCUACGGUAGUGUCCUAGCAUGGUUGCAACGGGUAACGGGGAAUAA